rnacentral:rRNA from 2 species
UGUAAACGGCGGCUGUAUUGUGACGGUCCAAAGGUAGGAAAAUCCUUGUCGGGUAAUUAUCGUCGUGCGUGAAAGUUGGUACGACUCUUCACAUGUCGUUUAUAUAACACUUCUUAAAAUAGAACUUUCUUUGAAUAUGAGGAUCGAUAUGGCCCGACGGUUAGACCCUGAGCACCUUUACAUCCCU